AUGGAGCUGGCAGAGCCGGGCCACCCUUUGGGUGUGCUUGUGACAUCCCUGAGCCUCGGUUUUCAUACUUGUAAACUGAGGAUGAUGAUACUGAGCAGGCCGGUAGUGGGGACUGAGCCAGGGGAUGUGUGUGUGCAUGUGUGCAUUCAUGUGUGCGCCUGUGGAGUUGUGUGUGGGUGCAGGUGGGUAUGUGCGCGUCUGGGUAUGUGUGUGUGCAUGUGUGUGGGUGUGUGCGCAUGUGUGCACGCACGUGUGGGUAUCUGUGUCUACGAGUGUAUGGGUAUGUGCGUGUGGGUGUGUACGCACGUGUGUGUGCGCAUGUGUGGGUGUGUGCAUGCGCGUGUGUGCGUGUGUGCAUACGCCUGUUUGGGUAUGUCUGGAUGCGUGUGUGUGCACAUGCAUGCGCGUGCAUGUGGGUGUGUGUGCAUGUGUGUGGGUAUGUUUGCACACGUGUGGGGGUGUGCGCAUGUGGAUGUGUGCAUGCUGGUGUGGGUGUGUGCGUGCGUGUGGGUGUGUGCAUGUGUGUAUGCCUGUGUGGGGGUGUACAUGCGUGUGUGUGUGGGUGUGCGCAUGUGUGUUGGUGUGUGCGUGUGUGUGGGUGUGUGUGCGUGUGCCUGUGUUGGUGUGUGCGUGUGUGCUUGCAUGUGUAGGUGUGUUCGCGCCAGUGUGGGGGCGUGGGCUCGCAUAUGUGGGUGUGCAUGUGGGUGUGUGCGUGUGGGUAUGCUUAUGUGUGGUUAUGUAUGUGCACGUGUGGAUGUGUGUGUGUGGUAUGUACACAUGCAUAUGCACGUGUGCACGUCUGUGCAUGACAUUUAUGUCUUGGCCCGUGUACAGUGUGUGCACACGGUCACAGGUAUGGUUGCAUGCAUGCUACGUGUGCAUGUAUGUUUCAUGUGUUUUCAUGAGGUGUGUGCACAUGAAUGUUUCAUGUGUUUUCACGCAUGCACAUAUGUGGGCACCUAUGUGUGCUGGAUUGUUACAACUGUCAUGGUGCCCAGGGUACUAGGCCUGGCCCUUGGCAUCUGGGGUCAGAGCGUGGUCUGUCUUGCAAGCUGA
rnacentral:lncRNA from 1 species